rnacentral:rRNA from 1 species
AUUGAACGCUGGCGGCAUGCCUUACACAUGCAAGUCGAACGGCAGCGGGGACUUCGGUCCGCCGGCGAGUGGCGAACGGGUGAGUAAUGUAUCGGAACGUACCAUUGAGUGGGGGAUAACGUAGCGAAAGUUACGCUAAUACCGCAUAUUCUCUCCGGAGGAAAGCAGGGGACCGCAAGGCCUUGCGCUCUUUGAGCGGCCGAUAUCAGAUUAGCUAGUUGGUGAGGUAAAGGCUCACCAAGGCGACGAUCUGUAGCGGGUCUGAGAGGAUGAUCCGCCACACUGGAACUGAGACACGGUCCAGACUCCUACGGGAGGCAGCAGUGGGGAAUUUUGGACAAUGGACGCAAGUCUGAUCCAGCCAUGCCGCGUGCGGGAAGAAGGCCUUCGGGUUGUAAACCGCUUUUGUCAGAGAAGAAAUCUUCUGGGUUAAUACCUCGGGAGGAUGACGGUAUCUGAAGAAUAAGCACCGGCUAACUACGUGCCAGCCGCCGCCGUAA